CGACAGGGCGGGUUCACAACUGAUUGGCCGCCGGGGAGGCUCGGGGGGCGGGGUCACCCCAGAGCGGCUAAAGGAUUGAGCAAAGGAGGUGACACCCGGAGCGGCCGAGCGGAUUGGUGGAGGCGGUUUGGGGCGGGGCUAAACCGGAGCACCACCACGGUGGAGGAUGGCUUCAGCGACUGGUGGGUUCUGUGGGACGUCACGCGGGGGCAUCCGAGCCCCGAUCCUCCGGGCUUGGGCCUGCAGCCAGGUAAAUUUUAGGGUGGUUUAAACUACUGAAGAUUAGGAAGAGGGACCAGCUUCUCCUGGCCAGCAGUAGAAGAGCUGCCAUCCAAAUGUACCAGAUUUUCGUAAACCACUGGCUGAACAGCAUGUCAAAGAAUGGAGGAGACUAGCAGUGUGCAGAGGCAGCCACUGGAAAACUCCCGUGUUUAGAAAUCUCAUCAGCCACUUGAGUUUCCCCCAGAUGAGUUCUCAAGCAUCACCAACCAGGAUGGGAAGCGCUGGGGGUUAUUUGGACUAGCAUUAACAGGAUACAGAAGCAAAUCAAUGGCAGAGCUCCCCAUCACAUGCAGCCUGGCCUAAACAGCAUGAUAUGAAUGGGAAGCAGCAAAGGGUAUGUCUGCACCUUGUUCCCAGAGAGAACAUACCCAACCAAGUGUUCCCACAUGUGCAUUCCAAACCAGUGGUGUAACUAGGAGGGGCAGUUGGGGCAACCACCCCAUCCCCCCCCACCAACUUGAAGUGGGGUGCAAAAAAAAGUGGCUGCUGCUGGCAGCUGCAUGUAUUGGCAAUUGGAAGUUCCAUUUUGUCCCAGGCAUGUCCCAACACUGCUGCUUCAAACCUGGAAAUGAGGGGUUGAAGCCUCUGUGGAUGUUCCCCCACAGCUGCUCCCAAGACCUCUAUUUCUAGCACUCUUGGGAGAAGGUAUGUUUCUGAGCUGUAAUGUAAGUGGAGCAGAUGGGCAGGGUGCCCAUCCCUAGGCAGCAGUAUAGAUUCAUCCCAGGAGGCCAAGUUUGGACCUCACCAUGUGACUUUUUCACUUACUACUGCCUCAGACAAUUUUAAUUUGAGCUGUCUGGGCCAGCGAUGUCAUGCUGUGAGUUUAUAACAGUGAGACAGAUUUGCAAGAGAGCAGCAUAGGAUGAAACACCUGCAAUCCUCCUUUUUUUUCUCCCUGCCUGUAAUCAAGUCUGCUGCAGAUCAAAAUAUAGCAUCAGGUACUUGUUUUUGUCUUUCCAACUUAGAACCCAAUUUGGACUACAUGUGGCUGGGAUGAAAAAGGAGGCCACAGGGAAAUGUUUCUUUCCUCAGCUAAAGCUAUCCCACUGAAUACAAUUCCUACCACUGCAAUAAUUGCAUCAGUCAUCAUCAUUCAGGAAAUCACUUGUUUUGCAAUUUUACUCUGUAGAAAUAACAAAAAUGGUGAUAGUCACUCCCCAGGCUCUGUUUCCACUGCCACUUUUUCUCCAUCCCCAAAUAUAUCCUGGAAGCAUGGUCCCAUCUGACCACAUGGCCCUUUUGGGAGUCUGUUCCAGCAUUGUGAUCUACUCUGGAUCCGUUCCUGUUUUUCCUUCCAUUGGGCCCUCCUUUGCUGCCAUCUGCCUCCCAUCUAAACAUCAGCUUUCCUAGCUCAGGGGAUUGCCGUGAGGUACUGCAGGCUCUGUCCUCAGAGUGGUAGUGAAUAUUUGGUCAGACCCCUCAUGCUAGGGGCCUGGAGGCAGGGAAGGAGGACUGAACCUGCCAUUAACAACUUUUGCUUUGUGGCAAAGAGCCUUUGAAUUUGUCCUUUAAAAAUGAGGCAGCCACCUGGCUCCAUGCCCUCUGCCAGUCUCCUGGAGCUGCUGUCACACAACUGAUUCUUGUGCAUUCACCCCAAGUUGUGCUGCUUGCUGCACUCACCCAGAAGUUGACUGGAGCGGCCCCUAGGACAACCUGCUCUCCAUGUUUUGGGUUUGAGGGAAAGAGCGCUUACACCCUGCAGUGAGGGAAGCCCAUCCUAUCCUGACCCAGUCUAGCUCAGAUGACCCCCCUGUAGCAAGAAACCUUUUUAUUUUUUUUGCCUCCCCCCUGCCUCCGCAGUCUGAAGCCCCACCGUAUGGCAAAAGCCCCUUUUGCAGUAUUUGCCCCCUUUUGGGAAUGCUUUGUCUUUUCUACCUUUUCUUCCUUCCUCCCUCUUCUUCCUUUUAUUAUAUUACUAUUAUUCUUUUUAUAGAAUAUAAGGUGUACUUGUAAUAAAAAUAUAGUUUGUAGAUGCUUUUAUGGGUAUAAAAUAGUAUUCUGCAUCAGUACGUCCCUCCCUCCUUGUAUUGAUCUAUUCCUUGUAUGCGCUGUGGCAUUUCACCCUUUUAUGUUUUAUAGUCUAUGCUUUUUAACUUUCUAACAAAUGUACUUUAAGUUUAAAAGUAAGUUGAACCAUGUAACAAUGUUAUCAAGGGCAGGAAUCAAAGGGCAACUUCUGUGUAUAGAGCAGGUCCCUGAAUGAAUCAUGAUUGAUUGCAUAACACAGUAGCUAGCCAGGAUAACAAGUUAACGAGCAGCAAUUAACACCUACCAAACCACAGGCUACGGAGAGGAAAGGAUCCAUACAGAGCGUGGAGCUCCCUGAAACUUCAUUGUUAAAGGUACAGAAGCCCUGGUUUGAACUAAUCAACGCCUAAAACCGACUCUUGGGACUGAAGAAUGACCCCCAGUGGUGCCCUCUUUGACCUGACCAGUACCCUGCCUGCCCAGCCAGGAGGACCAGCUGGUGAUCCCUUUCUGAAGCAACAUUGCACUGAAAGAAGCCUCAACUGGCCAUUGACGGUGGACUCCAGCACUUGGGGAUAGGUAUAUCUUGACACUGAUGCUUAGCAACGUUCAUAGCUAACUACUGUGUGUGUGUGUGUGUGUGUGUGUGUGUGUGUGUGUGUGUGUUUGAGGGGAUCGGCCCCAAGGUUUAUGAUCUGACUUUUGCAUCCGUCUAAUAAACUAGAAUUUUAUGAUGA